rnacentral:rRNA from 1 species
AAUGAACGCUGGCGGCAUGCCUAACACAUGCAAGUCGAACGAAGGCUUCGGCCUUAGUGGCGCACGGGUGCGUAACGCGUGGGAAUCUGCCCUCAGGUUCGGAAUAACAGCGAGAAAUUGCUGCUAAUACCGGAUGAUAUCGCGAGAGCAAAGAUUUAUCGCCUGAGGAUGAGCCCGCGUAGGAUUAGCUAGUUGGUGUGGUAAAGGCGCACCAAGGCGACGAUCCUUAGCUGGUCUGAGAGUAUGAUCAGCCACACUGGGACUGAGACACGGCCCAGACUCCUACGGGAGGCAGCGGUGGGGAAUAUUGGACAAUGGGCGAAAGCCUGAUCCAGCAAUGCCGCGUGAGUGAUGAAGGCCUUAGGGUUGUAAAGCUCUUUUACCCGGGAUGAUAAUGACAGUACCGGGAGAAUAAGCUCCGGCUAACUCCGUGCCAGCAGCCGCCGUAA